GGGCCCGCACAAGCAGUGGAGUAUGUGGAUUAAUUCGAAGCAACGCGAAGAACCUUACCAGGUCUUGACAUCCAUGUAAUCCUUCAGAGAUGAGGGAGUGCCCUUCGGGGAAACAUGAGACAGGUGGUGCAUGGUUGUCGUCAGCUCGUGUCGUGAGAUGUUGGGUUAAGUCCCGCAACGAGCGCAACCCUUGUCAUUAGUUGCUACGCAAGAGCACUCUAAUGAGACUGCCGUUGACAAAACGGAGGAAGGUGGGGACGACGUCAAAUCAUCAUGCCCCUUAUGACCUGGGCCUCACACGUACUACAAUGGCCGUUAACAGAGAGAGGCAAGAGAGCGAUCUGGAGCAAAACUCUAAAAACGGUCUCAGUUCGGAUCGCAGGCUGCAACCCGCCUGCGUGAAGUUGGAAUUGCUAGUAAUCGCGGAUCAGCAUGCCGCGGUGAAUACGUUCCCGGGCCUU
rnacentral:rRNA from 1 species